GACGAACGCUGGCGGCGUGCUUAACACAUGCAAGUCGAACGGAAAGGCCCUGCUUUUGUGGGGUGCUCGAGUGGCGAACGGGUGAGUAACACGUGAGUAACCUGCCCUUGACUUUGGGAUAACUUCAGGAAACUGGGGCUAAUACCGGAUAGGAGCUCCUGCUGCAUGGUGGGGGUUGGAAAGUUUCGGCGGUUGGGGAUGGACUCGCGGCUUAUCAGCUUGUUGGUGGGGUAGUGGCUUACCCAGGCUUUGACGGGUAGCCGGCCUGGGAGGGUGGCCGGGCACAAUGGGACUGAGAGACGGACCAGACGCCUACGGGAGGCAGCAGGGGGGAAUAUGGCACAAUGGGAGGAAGCCUGAUGCAGCAACGCCGCGUGCGGGAUGACGGCCUUCGGGGUGUAAACCGCUGUCGCCUGUGACGAAGCGUGAGUGACGGUAAUGAGUAAAGAAGCACCGGCUAACUACGUG
rnacentral:rRNA from 1 species